rnacentral:tRNA from 1 species
CGUCGGUUCGAACGGGUUCGGGCACCGCGUCGGUGCCAGGUGGGGCAUCACCUCCCGACGUUCGGGCUCGGCGUCCGGCGAC